UGCAAAUCCGGAGACCAUCUUGACAUUAAUAAUCACCAUGUUGGAGGCCGGGCGCUUGCCUGUGUAACUGGACAAACGAGAGGGGAAAAAAAACAAUGUCAGCCACAGAUAGAUGCUGGAAGAUAUGUAUUCAAGGCCAUUGGCUUCCUAGACUUCGAACAGUAUCUUUUAAAUGUUAACCAUGUCACACCUGUUGUGGUCUGCCAGCAGCCUGCGGAGCUGGCAGCGGAGUCGGACAGUGAGGAGGCUGGGGAGGACAAUGGGCCAGUCCUGGAGUCAGGGGAAGGCCCAGACCAAGGCUCUGCAUCGGAGGCAGAGAUGGGGCCAGGGCCAUCUGGGAGCGAUGUGCAGACUCCGGAGCCUCCAGAGAUGGACAGCAGAGAGGAGGAGCCUUUUCCUAGUCUACGCAUGCGAAGAGCUGCCAGAAGGUGAGAGCAGCUAAAGCAAAAAGGACGACUUGGGAGUAAGGCCAGGAGAUUAUUUGCCCCUACCACAAGGCUUAAAAGAGCAGCAAUGGCUCUUGGGUUCUUUGUAGGAAAGCAACGUUGUUACAAUUUUUUUUGUCUCCUCUUUCUGAACUUUGUGGGGUUCUUGCCAAGAAAAGUUUUUGGCAGGGUGCCAAAGAAGACAAAGGUUUGUGAUAAGGCCGAAGGACUUUUUAUGAAGGACUAUUUUGGACUUAAUUUGGACUAAGCUGAGAAUGAAGUAAUUCUCAGCUGUUCUAAUAAAAUGUUUGCUUAGGACUGAUUGUGUCUGGUAAUAACUACUUGGGCUUAUGUCAGAAAACAAAGCCAUAAGGUGGCUGGAUUCACGCAACUACACAUUAAGAAAACACAUUUGUUUUGUGUGUGUGACAUGCAAUACCCUAAGGGUCCCCAACCCUCAGUUUGUGGACCGGCACCAGGCCUCAGCAUGCCAGCAACUGGGCCAUCUGCGGGAUGUAAGCAGCACACAAAACCACACAUCCCCCCCCACUCCAAUCCGCGAAAAAAACCUUUCUCCAUGGAACCGGUCCCUGGUGCCCAAAAGGUUGGGGGCCCACUGCUAUACCCAAAUAAAUAAGCCAUAUCAUAGCUUCACAGUUCACACAACUUGCUAAGGCAUUACAGGUAGUCCUCAACUUAUGACCACAACUGAGCCAAAAAUUUCUGUUGUGAAAUGAGACAUUUCUUAAGUGAGUUUUGCGCCAUUUCUUGCCGCAGUUGUUAAGUAAAUCACUGCAAUCGAUAAGUUCGUAACCCAGUUGUUCAGUGAAUCUGGAUUCCCCAUUGAUUUCUCUCGUCAGACGGUCACAUAAAGUGAUCACAUGACCGUGGGACACAACAACGGUCAUAAAGUGUAAACCACUGGCCAAGCAUCUGAAUUUUGACCACAUGAUUGUGGAGAUACUACAAAGUUUGUAACUGAAACUUGGUCAUAAGUCACAUUUUUCAUUGCCGUUUUUAACUUGGAAUGGUCACUAAAUGAACUACUAUAAGUCGAGGACUACCUGUAUUAGGUUCUUCACGAUAUAUGGGACCACAAACAAAUCGCAUUUGUUUUGGAUUAGAUUAGCAAGUUAUAUGAACCAAGGCUUCUGGGAGGAGGAGACGGUUCUUCAGACCCAAAGACACUGUCGGGCAUCAGGGCAUCCCUUGAAUGGCAGCCAGUUCCCCUUCGGCUGUGACCUAUUGAA